rnacentral:rRNA from 1 species
UAAGUUAAUAAGGGCGCACGGUGGAUGCCUUGGCACUAGGAGCCGACGAAGGACGUGACAAACGACGAUAUGCCUUGGGUAGCUGUAAGUAAGCGAUGAUCCAGGGAUUUCCGAAUGGGGGAACCCAACAGGUAAUACCUGUUACCUACAUCUGUUAAGGAUGUGAGGAGGAAGACGCAGUGAACUGAAACAUCUAAGUAGCUGCAGGAAGAGAAAGCAAAAGCGAUUGCCUUAGUAGCGGCGAGCGAAACGGCAGAAGGGCAAACCGAAGAGUUUACUCUUCGGGGUUGUAGGACUGCAAUGUGGACUCAAAGAUUAUAGAAGAAUGAUUUGGGAAGAUCAGCCAAAGAGAGUAAUAGCCUCGUAUUUAAAAUAGUCUUUGUACUUAGCAGUAUCCUGAGUACGGCGGGACACGUGAAAUCCCGUCGGAAUCUGGGAGGACCAUCUCCCAACCCUAAAUACUCCCUAGUGACCGAUAGUGAACCAGUACCGUGAGGGAAAGGUGAAAAGCACCCCGGGAGGGGAGUGAAAUAGAACCUGAAACCGUGUGCCUACAACAAGUUCGAGCCCGUUAAUGGGUGAGAGCGUGCCUUUUGUAGAAUGAACCGGCGAGUUACGUUAUGAUGCGAGGUUAAGUUGAAGAGACGGAGCCGUAGGGAAACCGAGUCUGAAUAGGGCGCCUUAGUAUCAUGACGUAGACCCGAAACCAUGUGACCUACCCAUGAGCAGGUUGAAGGUGCGGUAAGACGCACUGGAGGACCGAACCAGGGCACGUUGAAAAGUGCUUGGAUGACUUGUGGGUAGCGGAGAAAUUCCAAACGAACUUGGAGAUAGCUGGUUCUCUCCGAAAUAGCUUUAGGGCUAGCGUCGACAUUAGAGAUUCUUGGAGGUAGAGCACUGUUUGGGUGAGGGGUCCAUCCCGGAUUACCAAUCUCAGAUAAACUCCGAAUGCCAAUGAAUUAUGGUCGGCAGUCAGACUGCGAGUGCUAAGAUCCGUAGUCGAAAGGGAAACAGCCCAGACCACCAGCUAAGGUCCCAAAAUAAUUGUUAAGUGGAAAAGGAUGUGGGGUUGCACAGACAACUAGGAUGUUAGCUUAGAAGCAGCUAUUCAUUCAAAGAGUGCGUAAUAGCUCACUAGUCGAGUGACCCUGCGCCGAAAAUGUACCGGGGCUAAAACAAUUUACCGAAGCUGUGGAUACCUUUAUAGGUAUGGUAGGAGAGCGUUCUAUGUGUGAUGAAGGUAUACCGUGAGGAGUGCUGGAACGCAUAGAAGUGAGAAUGCCGGUAUGAGUAGCGAAAGACAGGUGAGAAUCCUGUCCACCGUAAGACUAAGGUUUCCAGGGGAAGGCUCGUCCGCCCUGGGUUAGUCGGGACCUAAGGAGAGACCGAAAGGUGUAUCCGAUGGACAACAGGUUGAUAUUCCUGUACUAGAGUAUGUAGUGAUGGAGGGACGCAGUAGGCUAACUAAAGCAGACGAUUGGAAGAGUCUGUCUAAGCAGUGAGGUGUGAAUUGAGUCAAAUGCUUAAUUCUAUAACAUUGAGCUGUGAUGGGGAGCGAAGUUUAGUAGCGAAGUUAGUGACGUCACACUGCCAAGAAAAGCUUCUAGCGUUUAAACAUACUCUACCCGUACCGCAAACCGACACAGGUAGUCGAGGCGAGUAGCCUCAGGUGAGCGAGAGAACUCUCGUUAAGGAACUCGGCAAAAUGACCCCGUAACUUCGGGAGAAGGGGUGCUGACUUAAAGUCAGCCGCAGUGAAUAGGCCCAAGCAACUGUUUAUCAAAAACACAGCUCUCUGCUAAAUCGUAAGAUGAUGUAUAGGGGGUGACGCCUGCCCGGUGCUGGAAGGUUAAGAGGAGUGCUUAGCGUAAGCGAAGGUAUGAAUUGAAGCCCCAGUAGACGGCGGCCGUAACUAUAACGGUCCUAAGGUAGCGAAAUUCCUUGUCGGGUAAGUUCCGACCCGCACGAAAGGCGUAAUGAUUUGGGCACUGUCUCAACGAGAGACUCGGUGAAAUUUUAGUACCUGUGAAGAUGCAGGUUACCCGCGACAGGACGGAAAGACCCCAUGGAGCUUUACUGCAGUUUGAUAUUGAGUGUCUGUACCACAUGUACAGGAUAGGUAGGAGUCUAAGAGAUCGGGACGCCAGUUUCGAAGGAGACGCUGUUGGGAUACUACCCUUGUGUUAUGGCCACUCUAACCCAGAUAGGUGAUCCCUAUCGGAGACAGUGUCUGACGGGCAGUUUGACUGGGGCGGUCGCCUCCUAAAAGGUAACGGAGGCGCCCAAAGGUUCCCUCAGAAUGGUUGGAAAUCAUUCGCAGAGUGUAAAGGUAUAAGGGAGCUUGACUGCGAGAGCUACAACUCGAGCAGGGACGAAAGUCGGGCUUAGUGAUCCGGUGGUUCCGUAUGGAAGGGCCAUCGCUCAACGGAUAAAAGCUACCCUGGGGAUAACAGGCUUAUCUCCCCCAAGAGUUCACAUCGACGGAGAGGUUUGGCACCUCGAUGUCGGCUCGUCGCAUCCUGGGGCUGUAGUCGGUCCCAAGGGUUGGGCUGUUCGCCCAUUAAAGCGGCACGCGAGCUGGGUUCAGAACGUCGUGAGACAGUUCGGUCCCUAUCCGUCGCGGGCGUAGGAAAUUUGAGAGGAUCUGCUCCUAGUACGAGAGGACCAGAGUGGACUUACCGCUGGUGUACCAGUUGUCUUGCCAAAGGCAUCGCUGGGUAGCUAUGUAGGGAAGGGAUAAACGCUGAAAGCAUCUAAGUGUGAAACCCACCUCAAGAUGAGAUUUCCCAUGAUUAUAUAUCAGUAAGAGCCCUGAGAGAUGAUCAGGUAGAUAGGUUAGAAGUGGAAGUGUGGCGACACAUGUAGCGGACUAAUACUAAUAGCUCGAGGACUUAUCCA